CAGUCAGCGUCAAAUAAUUAGAGACGCUCAGAGUAUUCAAAUAAAUAGACGCAACCAAAAAGUCAAAAAUAUCGGUACAAACAAAGUUCCCUUAUUGUUGUCAACAAUAUACUCGCUCAAAAGGUCGAGACGUUUAAAAUGUCAUAUAGAUCGUUUCAGUCAAACCGCCAUAAAUAUGGUUACAGUCAUCUCGCCAAUGGUAUCCAAGCAUUCUGAGUGUUCAAAAAUACGGAACACAUUAGAAAAAUUAACUUUACUGCUAUAUAUUUUAAAUAUAAUUUCUCACAUCAAAUAAUAAUAAAAUAUUUAUGCAUAAAAUGAAAGGGAUAGAAACAACUCCAAUCCUUUUCAUUUUAAGCACGAGGUCAUAGAUAUGU